rnacentral:rRNA from 1 species
UGGGGAAUUUUGGACAAUGGGCGCAAGCCUGAUCCAGCCAUUCCGCGUGCAGGAUGAAGGCCCUCGGGUUGUAAACUGCUUUUGUACAGAACGAAAAGGUUUCUACUAAUACUAGGAGCUCAUGACGGUACUGUAAGAAUAAGCACCGGCUAACUACGUGCCAGCAGCCGCGGUAAUACGUAGGGUGCAAGCGUUAAUCGGAAUUACUGGGCGUAAAGCGUGCGCAGGCGGUUAUAUAAGUCAGAUGUGAAAUCCCCGGGCUCAACCUGGGAACUGCAUUUGAGACUGUAUAGCUAGAGUACGGCAGAGGGGGAUGGAAUUCCGCGUGUAGCAGUGAAAUGCGUAGAUAUGCGGAGGAACACCGAUGGCGAAGGCAAUCCCCUGGGCCUGUACUGACGCU